GGUGCCGACACCAUUAUGACGUGGCUUGUGAUGCUGGUUUUACUACAGGCUUUUACGUCGCCAGUAACAGACGCCUGCUUAGAUAUAGCUGUUACGGAUUCAUGUGGUGACUCAUUCAGCAUGGAAGUGAUAGAAGAUGCUUGUGUGAGGUAUACUGGAGGGUAUUUGGACUACAAUGGCUGUACACUUUAGUUCACCAAUAGCGAUAGACUGUAUAAACAAUUCUGCAUCAAACCAGAAACUUUACAACUAAGCUGUAGUACUGAAGUGAAAUAUUACAGGAGUUUUGCAGACGAUUUCUUUGGUGCCGAGAGGAAGUUUACUUGUGGGCAAAUAUCUUACGACGAAUGGUGUGACUCUUCUUCGAGUGUUUUUAUAAAAAUCACUUCUUUGAGCGGAAGUGAUAAAGUGACACUAAAAGUGUCUUUAGAAAAAGAAACGGAUUCCACGAUCUCCCCCGGAGUCAUGGUGGCGAUAUGUUUUUCCUCAGCAAUUGUACUAUUUAUGAUAGUAAGCUGCAUAAUCAUGAGAUGUCAUUACCAGAAUGCGCGCGUUUCAGCAGGUCCAACAAAUGAUGUGACAAUGCAUACUUCAGCUGAAUACAAUCAGUCGGGACUGUCUGGGAACCAGCGAUCCGAGAUAGAUGGGUAUCAGUCAUAUCCUACAGGUACUCACGCUCUGUCGGAAACAGCGCUUCGGCAAACAACCCAUGAGGGACGAAUAUUCCAGUAUUUUUAUGCACCCCCACCAUACGAGGCUGCCAUGAGUUCCACUUAUGAUGAAAAAGUAUAAGUUGGAAUGGGAUAGCAAGCGAUGUUAAAACAGUUUUCAGCACUCAGAUUAAAUCAAAAUAUCUAAACACCUUAAUUUGACUUUAAGUGAAAAUAUCUUUUUAGCCGAUUUUAUUUCUAUUUCUUAUAUGAUAUAGCAAUUAUUAUUAUACUUUUAACCAAACUUUGAAGUCACUUAAAACCUGAAGAAUUUUGCACAGUUCUGGUCUUAGUUUUUAGCCUUUUCGUUAACCUCAUCAAACCUUACACCCUAAUAAAGUGAUAUUUUUUAGACCUGUAUGCGAUAUCGAAAUUAUCCGGAAUUUAUUCUCUCAGAUUAGAUUGAAAUAUUACACUAAAUUCUUCUUAAUUUGACUUAAUGUGAAAAUAUCAUUUUGCGAAUUUGUAAUGGUGAUUUAUUUCUUUUAUCUUACAUGAGAAAUUGUAUUUAUAAAACUUUUUAUCAAACAUUGAAAACACUCAAAAUAUGAACAAAUUAGUUUGAAAUACUG